AGGUGCUUGCACCUUUCAAGCGAGUGGCGAACGGGUGAGUAACACGUGGAUAACCUGCCUCAAGGCUGGGGAUAACAUUUGGAAACAGAUGCUAAUACCGAAUAAUAACUUAGUGUCGCAUGACAUCAAGUUAAAAGGCGCUACGGCGUCACCUAGAGAUGGAUCCGCGGUGCAUUAGUUAGUUGGUGGGGUAAAGGCUUACCAAGACGAUGAUGCAUAGCCGAGUUGAGAGACUGAUCGGCCACAUUGGGACUGAGACACGGCCCAAACUCCUACGGGAGGCUGCAGUAGGGAAUCUUCCACAAUGGGCGCAAGCCUGAUGGAGCAACGCCGCGUGUGUGAUGAAGGCUUUCGGGUCGUAAAGCACUGUUGUAUGGGAAGAAAUGCUAAAAUAGGGAAUGAUUUUAGUUUGACGGUACCAUACCAGAAAGGGACGGCUAAAUACGUGCCAGCAGCCGCGGUAAUACGUAUGUCCCGAGCGUUAUCCGGAUUUAUUGGGCGUAAAGCGAGCGCAGACGGUUGAUUAAGUCUGAUGUGAAAGCCCGGAGCUCAACUCCGGAAUGGCAUUGGAAACUGGUUAACUUGAGUGUUGUAGAGGUAAGUGGAACUCCAUGUGUAGCGGUGGAAUGCGUAGAUAUAUGGAAGAACACCAGUGGCGAAGGCGGCUUACUGGACAACAACUGACGUUGAGGCUCGAAAGUGUGGGUAGCAAACAGGAUUAGAUACCCUGGUAGUCCACACCGUAAACGAUGAAUACUAGGUGUUAGGAGGUUUCCGCCUCUUAGUGCCGAAGCUAACGCAUUAAGUAUUCCGCCUGGGGAGUACGACCGCAAGGUUGAAACUCAAAGGAAUUGACGGGGACCCGCACAAGCGGUGGAGCAUGUGGUUUAAUUCGAAGCAACGCGAAGAACCUUACCAGGUCUUGACAUCCUUUGAAGCUUUUAGAGAUAGAAGUGUUCUCUUCGGAGACAAAGUGACAGGUGGUGCAUGGUCGUCGUCAGCUCGUGUCGUGAGAUGUUGGGUUAAGUCCCGCAACGAGCGCAACCCUUAUUGUUAGUUGCCAGCAUUCAGUUGGGCACUCUAGCGAGACUGCCGGUGACAAACCGGAGGAAGGCGGGGACGACGUCAGAUCAUCAUGCCCCUUAUGACCUGGGCUACACACGUGCUACAUGGCGUAUACAACGAGUUGCCAACCUGCGAAGGUGAGCUAAUCUCUUAAAGUACGUCUCAGUUCGGACUGCAGUCUGCAACUCGACUGCACGAAGUCGGAAUCGCUAGUAAUCGCGGAUCAGCACGCCGCGGUGAAUACGUUCCCGGGUCUUGUACACACCGCCCGUCACACCAUGGGAGUUUGUAAUGCCCAAAGCCGGUGGCCUAACCUUCGGGAGGGAGCCGUCUAAGUGGGACAG
rnacentral:rRNA from 1 species